GAUUAAAUGGCUGAUAAUAGGCGAUAAACUGUAAAUUUAUAUAUAAGAUUUUUCUUUUUAAUCA
rnacentral:tRNA from 1 species